rnacentral:lncRNA from 1 species
CUUCAUCCUGUCCCCAGGGAGGAGCUGUGGCUCCUCUUUACCCAGCGCCAUUAACAAAGUGAGUAGCAGGUGCAGCCAGAUGGCUUUUGAGCUAUGGGGCCAGCACAGGGUGCUGGGUCAGUGCCCGACAUUACACUCUCCUCUCGGCUGUGCUAUAUCAGUGAUAGGGCUUAGCAAAGCUCUUCCAGGAUGUCCCAUUCUGCCAUGUAGACCAAGAGCCAUGCAGUAAGUAACCUGGUAGGGGAGACACCAUGAUCAGGACCUGCCUGCUGAGAGGGUAGGAGACAAGGACACUACAGACUGAGAGCCCAGAGACACAGCAAGAAGGAGAACAAACUCUAUCUGCGCAUCUCAAGAGACGGGGUCCUCUCCCAGCCCAGCGGAGGGGGGUCUCUUGGUUGUGCAGUGAGAAGGAAGAAACCAUCAGCAUCAACAGCAUGUGCUUCCUGAUGGAGAAGAAGAAACCUCCAACAGGAACAUCAUGAUCCGUCUGUUAAAGAAAGACAUCAGGAUGCUGGCCAUAAAUGAUGCUGCUGUUGCCUCAGGUGAACGCAGGUGUCAGCCCGCUGCUGUGGGAAACCCUUCUCUGCAAUCCAAAAAGCUCAUCGGCCUAGGGUGCAGGAGGCAAGAACAAGCACUUCUGGUACUGCUGCCAAAGGACAGAAAUAACAUUGUCUUCAAAAGAAAAAUCUUCUCCACUGGAUAGGCUCAAUGCUGGGACAAUCAGAGAUUACUUAUAAUAAAAUACAAAUCCUCAGCCCA